rnacentral:rRNA from 1 species
AGAGUUUGAUCCUGGCUCAGAUUGAACGCUGGCGGCAGGCCUAACACAUGCAAGUCGAGCGAGAAAGCCCUUCGGGGUGAGUACAGCGGCGGACGGGUGAGUAACGCGUGGGAAUCUGCCCAGUAGUGGGGGACAACAGCCGGAAACGGCUGCUAAUACCGCAUACGCCCUACGGGGGAAAGCAGGGGAUCUUCGGACCUUGUGCUAUUGGAUGAGCCCGCGUCAGAUUAGCUUGUUGGUGGGGUAAUGGCCUACCAAGGCGACGAUCUGUAGCUGGUCUGAGAGGAUGAUCAGCCACAUCGGGACUGAGACACGGCCCGAACUCCUACGGGAGGCAGCAGUGGGGAAUAUUGGACAAUGGGGGCAACCCUGAUCCAGCCAUGCCGCGUGUGUGAAGAAGGCCUUCGGGUUGUAAAGCACUUUCAGCGAGGAGGAAAGCCUGAUGGCUAAUACCCAUCGGGGGUGACGUUACUCGCAGAAGAAGCACCGGCUAACUCCGUGCCAGCAGCCGCGGUAAUACGGAGGGUGCAAGCGUUAAUCGGAAUUACUGGGCGUAAA